UACGGAGGGUGCAAGCGUUAUCCGGAUUCACUGGGUUUAAAGGGUGCGUAGGAGGGCAGGUAAGUCAGUGGUGAAAUACCUGAGCUUAACUUGGGAACUGCCAUUGAUACUAUUUGUCUUGUAAUGAUUGUUGGAGGUUAGCUGGAAUAUGUCAUGUAGCGGUGAAAUGACUUAGUAGAUGACAUAGAACACCUAAUUCGCGAA
rnacentral:rRNA from 1 species